GUGCUCACUUCAGCAGCACUUAGACUAAAAUUAAAAUGAUACAAAGAAGAUUAGCGUGGCCCCUGUGUAAGGAUAACACCCAAAUUUGUGAAGCAUUCCAUAUUUUU